rnacentral:misc_RNA from 1 species
GAUGAAGAACGCAGCGAAAUGCGAUAAGUAAUGUGAAUUGCAGAAUUCAGUGAAUCAUCGAAUCUUUGAACGCACAUUGCGCCCGCUAGUAUUCUGGCGGGCAUGCCUGUCCGAGCGUCAUUUCAACCCUCAAGCCCCCGGGCUUGGUGUUGGGGAUCGGCGAGCCUCCGCGCCCGCCGUCCCCUAAAUCUAGUGGCGGUCUCGCUGUAGCUUCCUCUGCGUAGUAGCACACCUCGCACUGGGAAACAGCGCGGCCACGCCGUUAAACCCCCAACUUCUGAACGUUUGACCUCGGAUGAGGUAGGAAUACCCGCUGAACUUAAGCAUAUCAAUAAGCGGAGGA